UUUCCGGUGAUCCCGCCGGAGGUCACUGCUAUUGGGAUUCGACUAAGCCAUGCGAGUCGAGAGGGUUCGGCCCUCGGCUGACGGCUCAGUAACACGUGGAUAAUCUGCCCUUAGGUGGAGGAUACCCUCGGGAAACUGAGAAUAAUACUCCAUAGGCCUAGGAUGCUGGAAUGCACUUAGGCUUAAAGCUCCGGCGCCUAAGGAUGAGUCUGCGGACUAUCAGGUUGUAGUCAGGGUAAUGACCUGACUAGCCUACGACGGAUAUGGGUUGUGAGAGCAAUAACCCAGAGAUGAUAUCUGAGACACGAUAUCAGGCCCUACGGGGCGCAGCAGGCGCGAAAACUUCACACUGUGCGAAAGCACGAUGAGGGAAUCCCAAGUGCUUGCUCGUUAGAGUAAGCUGUUUUUAUGUUUAAAAAGCAUAGAGAGUAAGGGCUGGGUAAGACGGGUGCCAGCCGCCGCGGUAAUACCUGCAGCUCUAGUGGUGGCCGCUAUUAUUGGGCCUAAAACGUCCGUAGCCGGUUUAAUAAAUGCCUGGGUAAAUCGUGUAGCUUAACUAUACGAAUUCCGGGUAGACUGUUAAGCUUGAGAUCGGGAGAAGUUAGAGGUACUCCUGGGGUAGAGGUGAAAUUCUGUAAUCCUAGGGGGACCACCAGUGGCGAAGGCGUCUGACUAGAACGGGUCUGACGGUGAGGGACGAAGCCCUGGGGCGCAAACCGGAUUAGAUACCCGGGUAGUCCAGGGUGUAAACGCUGCUUGCUUGAUGUUAGUCGGGCUCCGAGCCCGAUUAGUGUCGGAGAGAAGUUGUUAAGCAAGCUGCCUGGGAAGUACGGUCGCAAGAUUGAAACUUAAAGGAAUUGGCGGGGGAGCACAGCAGCGGGUGGAGCGUGCGGUUUAAUUGGAUUCAACGCCGGG
rnacentral:rRNA from 1 species